CCCUUAGAUGUCCUGGGCCGCACGCGCGCUACACUGACAUGUUCAACAAGCCUCCUAGUUCGACAGGAUUUGGGAAAUCUUUGAACGCAUGUCGUGAUAGGGAUAGAUCAUUGCAAUCAUUGAUCUUGAACGAGGAAUUCCUAGUAAACGCGAGUCAUCAGCUCGCAUUGAUUACGUCCCUGCCCUUUGUACACACCGCCCGUCGCACCUACCGAUUGAAUGUUUCGGUGAAGAUUCCGGAUAGGACUUUUUUGAUUUAUUUCAAUUUUGUCUUAAAAGCUAUCUAAACCUCAACAUUUAGAGGAAGGUGAAGUCGUAACA
rnacentral:rRNA from 1 species